rnacentral:rRNA from 1 species
AGUGAACGCUGGCGGCAGGCCUAACACAUGCAAGUCGAGCGGCAGCGCGGGGGCAACCCUGGCGGCGAGCGGCGGACGGGUGAGGAAUACAUCGGAAUCUACCCAGUCGUGGGGGAUAACGUAGGGAAACUUACGCUAAUACCGCAUACGACCUGAGGGUGAAAGCAGGGGACCGCAAGGCCUUGCGCGAUUGGAUGAGCCGAUGUCCGAUUAGCUAGUUGGGGAGGUAAAGGCUCACCAAGGGGACGAUCGGUAGCUGGUCUGAGAGGAUGAGCAGCCACACGGGAACUGAGACACGGUCCAGACUACUACGGGAGGCAGCAGUGGGGAAUAUUGGACAAUGGGCGCAAGCCUGAUCCAGCCAUGUCGCGUGUGUGAAGAAGGCCUUCGGGUUGUAAAGCACUUUUGUCCGGGAAGAAAAGCCAGGGAUUAAUACCCUGGGGUCAUGACGGUACCGUAAGAAUAAGCACCGGCUAACUACGUGCCAGCAGCCGCAGUAACAC